GAAAUGCGAUAAGUAAUGUGAAUUGCAGAAUUCCGUGAAUCAUCGAAUCUUUGAACGCACAUUGCGCCCUCUGGUAUUCCGGAGGGCAUGCCUGUCCGAGCGUCAUUGCUAUACCUCAAGCCCGGCUUGUGUAUUGGGCCUACCGUCCCUGGGACGGUGACCCGAAAGGCAGUGGCGGCGUCGCGUCCCGGUCCUUAAAGCGUAUGGGGCUUUGUCACCCGCUUGGAGGCCGGCCGACCCCGUAGCCCAUCGUGGAUUUUCCACAUUUAUCUCUGAUGGACCUCGGAUCAGGUAGGGAUACCCGCUGAACUUAA
rnacentral:misc_RNA from 1 species